GAUGAACGCUAGCGGCAGGCCUAACACAUGCAAGUCGAGGGGUAGAACACUUCGGUGUUUGAGACCGGCGCACGGGUGCGUAACGCGUAUGCAAUCUACCUUGUACAGGGGAAUAGCCCAGAGAAAUUUGGAUUAAUGCCCCAUAGUAUAUAACCUUCGCAUGUUGGUUAUAUUAAAGUUCCAACGGUACAAGAUGAGCAUGCGUUCCAUUAGUUAGUUGGUAAGGUAACGGCUUACCAAGACGAUGAUGGGUAGGGGUCCUGAGAGGGAGAUCCCCCACGCUGGUACUGAGACACGGACCAGACUCCUACGGGAGGCAGCAGUGAGGAAUAUUGGUCAAUGGGCGCAAGCCUGAACCAGCCAUGCCGCGUGCAGGAAGACGGUCCUAUGGAUUGUAAACUGCUUUUGUACGGGAAUAAACCUCUCUACGUGUAGGGAGCUGAAUGUACCGUAAGAAUAAGGAUCGGCUAACUCCGUGCCAGCAGCCGCCGUAAGAC
rnacentral:rRNA from 1 species